rnacentral:lncRNA from 1 species
CAACGAUGCCAUGCUAUAUGCAACAGAAAUAUAUGCAACAUGAAUAUAUGCAAUAACUAGUAGAAUUAUUGAUUCUACAAUCAAUCUCGCUAAUCUUAGCUCAUGUCAUCCAACUCUAAGGUUUCUACUACCUUAGGUUAUCACAUUUACCACUAGCCCUCAAGGUUCUAUCUACCUUAUUCCAGCUAGCCACCCGACUCGGCCUCGAGUCAAUCAACAGCGGAUAAUCCGCGCUCUGCCCGGCUCGAGGUGAAGGAUCCUGUCGCAUGCACCUCAGCCUGCAAGCCAAGAACCACAUCGCCCAACGGUCCGCCCGAAGGUCCGUGCACCGUGGUCAGGGAUCCGCCAGUGAGAGAGGAACAUAGCCGCGUACACCCAUAGCCAAGACCCCCGAUAGGGAGAGGAACAUGCCGCAUACACCCUAGCGCUCUUUGUUCUUGCUUAGUCACAAUCCUCAAAGUUCUUCCGGUGGGAGAGGAACAUGCCACAUACACCCGCGGUCCAAGAACUAUUGAGUUCACAAGUCUCGGGAUUCCGGAAUCCACUUCACAAGUCAAGGGUCCAUAUCCAACCCUAUGUUGUCGACCUAUCUAGGUCCAAUGCACUUUCCACCCUAGGUCCGACUGACUCUAGGUCUAAUGCCUCAAUUUCACAACCUAGGUUUACCCUAACUCUAGAUUCAGUUCUCAACCUAUAUUCUUUAACACUAGGUCAGAUGCCACACUCCUAGAUCCCAACUCUAGGUUCAUACUCAACCUAUGUUCUUUAACACUAGGUUAGAUGCCACACACCUAGAUCUCGACUCUAGGUUCAUACUCAACCUAUGUUCUUUAACACUAGGUUA